CCGCAUAUCCUAGUUUGACACCAAGCAACGAAGCUCUUUCUCUAAAAGAAUUUUUCUAAAUUCUUUUCUAAUAAGAGUUUGUCAUUAACCAAAUUUUUAUAUACACAAGAGGAGCCUAAUAAGGUCUUUCACUCGAAAGGAAAGUGCAAAAAAAGAAGGAAAUAAGUUAAGCUUUAUUUCUUGUGACUAUCCAAGAAUUUCAAUGUUUGAAUCGAGAUUUCAAAUGGUAAAGCUUAUCUGAUUUGAUUUAUUGUAGAAUUUUUUCUCGAAUAAAUCAUGAAUUUUCUAGGAUAUUAUUAAGGAUCUCAUCGAAAAUUAGGAACUCAUCGAAAACUUACAGCAGCUUGCCAAACAAAGGCUAAGAGAAAAAAGAACAGAGGUAUGACUGUCAUAAUAUCUACGAUUGGAUUCAAAAAAGUGUAGGCCUCGGGUAAUUUGCCGAUGAAAAAACUACUUUAACAUAGGGUCGAAUUAAGACAGAUACCGAUCAAACUAAAGGUAUUAAGCAUCACAGUCUUUUUGUUCUGGGAGAUAAUUGCAUUUUGAUUGAUUUAUUGAUAUAAGGAAAAGGAAAGUGAGUAAGAUAAACAAAAAGUUAUUCUUUUUCUUUGAACCCACCCAAUCAAAAAUCCUCCUUUUCUCAAAGGAGAAUCGAAAAAAAUCAUAUUUUCAUGCAAUAUCUUAAUUGAAUUAUAUCUAAUGAUCAAUAAAUUAAGUUGAAUUCUAUAUCUACACAUACCAAAAACCUAGAAAAAUCCUAGUACCAAUCUAAUCUACUAUAUAGAUAUUUGGACUAGAGUUGACAAACAAACAAAACCAGCAAUAUACCAUUUUAGUAUCGGAUAAAAAUAUAGAUGGGGCGUGGCCAAGCGGUAAGGCAACGGGUUUUUGUCCCGCUAUUCGGAGGUUCAAAUCCUUCCGUCCCAGAACAUAUAUAUCCAAUGAUAAUAUAGAUUGCUUUUUUAACAAUGUUCUGUUUAAAAUCGAAAUGUUAGCUGGAAUGUGAUUGUUGUUUCUGAUUUUUUUCUUCAAUGAAUCUUUGAAAAACUGAAUCGAGAUGCGGAAGAAUCCAGAUUCCCUAUCUCGUAUUUUCUACCCCCUAAAUUAAACUAAUAAGAUUUAAUUUUCUUUUUUGUAGAUUUCUUUACUUUUCAUCAAGAGUGGGGUUUUGGUACUAAUUCAAUUUACUAAGUCUCUUAAUUCUUAAUCAAUGAGUUAGGCUAAAAUAGAAAAAAAGGAGCAAAAACUGGACCUAAUCUGGACUUGUUUGGCUUUGUGCCUAGACAGCUCGCAUUUCGGAAAAAUAAAAAAGACUAGGACACCCCCUUAGUUUCUUUUGAUUUAUGCUGCAUCAGUCCCAUAGAAUGGGGUAGAUAGGAGUUAAUCAGUAAUGGGAAGGCGUUCAUUUCAAUAUAUUGCAAUAUCUAUAAAGGGUGACAAUUGCUCAGUCUAUUUGAUCGAUUUGAUAGACACGAACACCUCCCCAUUCUUUGUAUUUUAUCAAUCAGAUGAAAAAAAAGAAUAAGAAUUCAAACUUACCUUACAUUAAUCUUUUUUUAUCUAUCUCAUAACUCAUAAAAAAAAUUGGAUUUGUUGUUUGGUGUAUUUAUCUAUUGUAAAUCAUUGAAUGUAAAUCAUUGAAAUCGUUGAUGAUUCACUUAAAAAAAAAAGACUUAUCUUUUUUCCUAAGAUGAUCAAAAGUUAUUUUUAACUAUCAAAUUUUCUUUGAAUAAUGAUGUGAUGUCGAAAAGAGAACUUUCUAAAUUUAUUCGAAAGUUAGAAAGAGAAAUAGUUUUAAUCAUUCCUUUUAAUCAUUCCUUAUAAACUGAAUCUUUCUCUCCUAUUAAGUCACGUGAAGAUGCAGAAUCAAAAAGAAUUCAUUUAUUCGUCUUAUUUUUUAUUAUUUAUAUAUAUUAUAUAUUUUAUUAUUUAUAUAUUUAUAUAAAUAAUUUAAUAAAUAUUUAAUAAAUAUAUUAAUUAAUAUAAUAUGUAUUAAUUAAUAUAAUAUGUUAGACAAAUUAAUAUUAGCGAUGGGCUCUUACUAAGAGACUUCUUCAGAAAAAUCUUUAUCCACCUAUAUCUAUAGUAUUAUUUAUAUCCCUUUAUAUCUCUAUACUAUAGAUUAUGGUGUUUAUACAUCAGCCCAACCAAUGACUAUUCAUGAUUCCAUAAUUGAAUCAAUUCCAUACCGGUUCUUAGAGGAAUGUUAUGGUAAAACUUCGUUUGAAACGAUGUGGUAGAAAGCAACGUGCGACUUGAAGGACACGAUCCGUUGUGGAUUUGUACAUCCACCAUUUUAUGUAGGAAUGAAGGUGCUCUUGGCUCGACAUCAUUGGUUCUGUUUCACUAGAACCCCUCGCUUUUUGUUGUCUUGGAAUGUAAAUAGUCCAUGAUGGAGCUCGAGUAGAAAGUAUUAAUUUAUUUCUCGGGGCAAGGGUCUAGGGUUAAUGCCAAUCAAUAAAAAAAUUGAAACAACUUCGUAAAUAUAUCUUCGGUAUGGAAAUCGAAAGAAUCCAAUUCGAGCAAGUUAAAAAUUCCAAAAUUUCUUUGAAUUGAUCAAACUUUUUCGAUCCAAAGUGUUUCACGAGGGAAUCCAUCGUCUUGUAGAAUUCUUUCCUAGAAAUCCCAAAAAGGGUAUGUUGCUGCCAUUUUGAAAGGAUUAAAAAGCACCGAAGUAAUGUCUAAACCCAAUGAUUUAAAAUAAAACAAAGAUAAAGGAUCCCAGAACAAGGAAACGCCUUUUAAUUGUCUUAAUAACUGGAUCAGACUGAAGAAUCCGAUUUUAAACGAGACAAACAAAAAAGGAGGAAAGACCGCUCAAUAAAUGAAAUUGCCGAAAGAUUUUCCUUUGAACUGUUUGAAAGUUAUCCAACUUGAGUUAUGAGAGUACGAAUGGUUUCUUUUUCAUUUUCAGGAAGAAAGAAGAAAAAAAAGGACUUACAUCUUUAAUUGAUUUGAUCAUUUUAUGGACCCAGUUGUCAUUUCUUAGAUAGAAUUCCAUACAUACAGAGACAAAACCAAAACCUCGAAUCAAUCAUUUUCUCGAGCCGUACGAGGAGAAAGCUUCCUAUACGUUUCUAGGGGGGGUGUUGUUCAUCUACAUCUAUCCCAAUGAGCCGUCUAUCGAAUCGUUGCAAUUGAUGUUCGAUCCCGAAGAGAAGGAAAAGAUCUUCGGAAAGUGGGUUUUUAUGAUCCGAUAAAGAAUCAAACUUAUUUAAAUGUUCCUGCUAUUUUAUAUUUCCUUGAAAAGGGGGCUCAACCUACAGGAACUGUUCAGGAUAUUUUAAAGAAGGCGGAGGUUUUUAAGGAACUUCGUCCUAAUCAACCAAAAUUCAAUUAAGGAAAUAAAUUAAGGAAAUACAAAAAAGGGGGGGUAGUGAUUUGUAUAUAAUAAGGAAAUACAAAAAGGGGGGGGGGGGGAGGGUUUUGUAUAUAACUUUGUAUGACUUUUGUUUUCUAUUUUUUUGUAAUUCCUCCCUUUCCUUUCCUUGUAUUCUAUUUUUUUGUAAUUCCUCCCUUUCCUUUCCUUUUCUAUUUGUAUUUAUUUAUCAUUGCUUCCAUUGAAUUCCAUGUUCUAUAAUGACAAAACCUCUUAUUUUAUUGAUCUUAGAAAUAAUAAAUUCGGGCAUUUCGGUUGAUUUUCCGUUUUUCAUUGGAACUCUACUAAAGCUAACAAAGAAAUCAAGUUUUCUUUUAUCACUUAACUUGAUUGAAUCCAUUAUGGAUUCAAUAAAUCUAAGUAAAUUGUAGUUUUGUUUUCCACUUAUUCUUUAUUUAUUCUCUCAUCUAUACUUUUUUCUAUCGAUUUUAUUUGGUUUGGAUUAUAUUUGUAGUGCCACUCCAACACAAAUCUUUUUUUUUUAUUGUUUUCAAUUGAAUUUUCUUUUUUUUUUCAAUAUUUAUAUUGACAACAGUGUAUCGAACAAAUAUAAUUCAUUGUGAUAAAUUGAUAAAUGAAGUGGAUCUAUUUAGUUUUAUUUUAUCUUUUAAAUUAAUUAGAAAGUGUGAAUUUAUUUUUUUAGAUUUCUUCUUUCAAUGGUUUUUGGUUGUCUUGUCUAAUCUCUUUAUUUCUUUUUCUUCGGAUUAGAUCUACACCAUUUUUUCAAUAUUUUCUUUGGGUUACUAACUCAUCGAUAGAGUACUCGGCUUUUAAGUGCGGCUACUGUCUUUUACACAUAUGGAUGAAAUGAGGGAUUCAUCCAUACUCUCGGUAAAGUUUGGAAGACCAAUUUAUCAAAUCUGAAAAAGAGUCAGAAGAAAUAGUUCGAGCAUCUUAUUUUGAUUUCUCGAACAGAGAGAUCCAUGAAUUGGGAUCCUGAUGCAUAUAGAUACAAAUGGUCCAAAGGGAGUAAGAAUUUCUUGGAACAUUUGGAGCAGUCUGUUUCGUAGCAGAAGAGCUGUUUUCAGGUAGUGUUCGAUUGAUUACGUAUUAAUCAAUAUUCGAUUGAUUGGUCUGAGGUUAUCGACAAAAAAUAUUUGUCUAAGCUACUUCGUUUCUUUUUGUCCAAGUCACCUUUUUUUUUUUGUCCAAGUUGCUUUUAUUUUUGUCUUACGCACUUUUUUUUUUCUAUGUGAGUUUCAGAAAUAUCCUUAUUACUAGGUUCGAGAUCUACAUCUAUGAAUUGAAAGGUCCGAUUGAUCAACUCUGCAAUCAGUUGUUAGAAUCAAUAGGUCUUCAAGUUGUUCAUUUCCAAAAAUUGAAACCCUUCUUAGUGGACGAUCAUGAUAGUUCCAAAAAAUCAAAAUUCUUGAUCAAUGGAGGAACAAUAUCACCAUUUUGUUCAAUAAGAUACCAAAGUGGAUGAUUGAUUUAUUCCAUACUAGAAAUAAUCGCAGGAAAUCCUUUGGUAACCCGGAUUCCUAUUUCUCAAUGAUAUUCCACUAUCAAGACAAUUGGUUGAAUCCCGUGAAACCAUUUCAUAGAAGUUCAUUGAUAUCUUCUUUUUAUAAAGAAAAUCGACUUCGAUUCUUGAAUAAUCCCCAGCACUUCUACUUCUAUUGGAACACAAGAUUCCCCUUUUCUGUGGAAAAGGCCCGUAUCAAUAAUUCUGAUUUUACGUAUGGACAAUUCCUCAAUAUCUUGUUCAUUCGCAACAAAAGAUUUUCUUUGUGCGUCGGUAAAAAAACAUGCUUUUUGGGGGAGAGAUACUAUUUCACCAAUCAAUUCACAGAUAUCUAACAUAUUCAUACCUAAUGAUUUUCCACAAAGUGGAGACAAAACGUAUAACUUGUACAAAUAUUUCCAUUUUCCAAGUCGAUCCGAUCUAUUCAUUCGUAGAGCUAUUUACUCGAUUGCAGAUAUUUUUGGAACACCUCUAACCGAGGGGCGAAUAGUUAAUUUUGAAAGAACUUAUUGCCAACCUCUUUCAGAUAUUAAUCUAUCUGAUUCAGAAAGGAAGAACUUUCAUCAGUAUCUCAAUUUCAAUUCAAACAUGGGUUUGAUUCACACUCCAUGUUCUGAGAAAGAUUUAUCAUCUAAAAAGAGGAAAAAAUGGAGUCUUUUUCUAAAGAAAUGCGUUGAGAAAGGGCUGAUGUAUAGAACCUUUCAACGAGAUAGUACUUUUUCAACUCUCUCGAAAUGAAAUCUAUUCAACUCAAAAUAGAAUCUAUUCCAAACAUAUAUGUCAUGGUUCCUUACUUCGACAGGGUACAAAUAUCUAAAUUUGAUAUUUUUAGAUAUUUUUUCAGACCUAUUGUCAAUACUAAGAAGCGAUCAAAAAUUUGUAUCCAUUUUUCCUGAUAUUAUGCAUGGAUCAGGAAUAUCAUGAUGAAUUCUUCAAAAAAAAUUAUGUCUUCCAUAAUGGAAUCUGAUAAGUGAAAUCUCGAGUAAGUGUUUACAUAAUCUUCCUCUUUCCGAAGAAAUGAUUCAUCAAAACAAUGAGUCACCAUUGAUAUCGAUAUAUCUGAGAUCGCCAAAUGCUCGGGAGUUCCUCUAUUCAAUCCUUUUCCUUCUUCUUGUUGCUGGAUAUCUCGUUUGUACACAUCUUCUCUGUGUUUCUCGGGCCUCUAGUGAGUUACAAACAGAGUUUGAAAGGGUCAAAUCUUUGAUGAUUCCAUCAUCUAUGAUUGAGUUUCGAAAAUAUUUGGAUAGGUAUCCUACAUCUGAACCGAAUUAUUUCUGGUUAAAGAAUCUCUUUCUAGUUGCUCUGGAACAAUUAGGAGAUUCUCUAAAAGAACUAUGGGGUUCUGCAUCUGGUGGCAACAUGCUUGGUUUCGCUUAUGGUGUCAAAUCAAUACAUUCUAAGAAGAUAGAUUGGAAUAUCAAUCGCAUCGAGAUCAUUGAUAUUAUACCAAAUCCCAUCAAUCGAAUCACUUUUUCGAGAAAUACGAGACAUCUAAGUCAUACAAGUAAGGAGAUCUAUUCAUUGAUAAGAAAAAGAAAAAACAUGAACGGGGAUUGGAUUGAUGAGAAAAUAGAAUCUUGGGUCGCGAACAGUGAUUCGAUUCAUGAUUAAGAAAGAGAAUUCUUGGUUCAGUUCUCCAUCUUAAGGACAAAAAAUAGGAUUGAUCAAAUUCUAUUGAGUUUGACUCAUAGUGAUCAUUUAUUAAAGAAUGACUUGGGUUAUCAAAUGAUUGAACAACCAGGAGCAAUUUACUUACGAUACUUAGUUGACAUUGAUAAAAAGCAUCUAAUUAAUUAUGAGUUCAAUCCAUCCUAUUCAGCAGAAAGAUGGAUAUUCCUUGCUUAUUAUCAGACAAUCACUUAUUCACAAACUUCGUGUGGGCAAAAUAGUUUUCAUUUUCCAUCUCAUGGAAAACCCUUUUCGCUCUGCUUAGCCUUAUUCCCCUCUAGGGGUAUUUUAGUGAUAGGUUCUAUAGGAACUGGAAGAUCCUAUUUGGUCAAAUACCUAGCGAGAAACUCCUAUGUUCCUUUCAUUACGGUAUUUCUGAACAAGUUCCUGUACAACAAUCCUAAAGGUUUUCUUCUUGAUGAGAUUGAUAUUGAUGAUAGUGACAAUACUGAUGAUAGUGACAAUCUUGAUACUAGUGACAUUCUUGAUGCUAGUGACAAUCUUGCUGCUAGUGAUGAUAUCGAUCGUGACCUUGAUACGUAGUUUGAACUGCUAACUAGGAUGAAUGGGCUAACUGUGGAUAUAAUACCGGAAAUAGAUCGAUUUUAUAUCACCUUUCAAUUUGAAUUAGCAAAAGUAAUGUCUCCUUGCAAAAUAUGGAUUCCAAACAUUCAUGAUCUGGAUGUGAAUGAGUCGAAUGACUUAUCCCUCGGUCUAUUAGUGAACCAUCUCUCCAGGGAUUGUGAAAGAUGUUCUACUAGAAAUAUUCUUGUUAUUGCUUCGACUCAUAUUCCCCAAAAAGUGGAUCCCGCUCUAAUAGCUCUGAAUAAAUUAAAUACGUGCAUUACACUAUGAAGUUUUCUUAUUCCACAACAACGAAAGCACCUUUUCACUCUUUCAUAUUCUAGGGGAUUUUACUUGGAAAAGAAAAUGUUCUAUACUAACGGAUUUGGGUCCAUAACCAUGGGUUCCAAUGCAUGAGAUCUUG
rnacentral:lncRNA from 1 species